GCCUCCUGCCCCGCCCCAGGAUCCGCCUCUGCCUCCCCAAGCAACUGGGCCCUUUGUCACCCAGGCAACGCCAGGACGCCACUGCGUCUUCCUCCUGCACAGAGCCUGGCUGUGUGUAAGCAUAUGUGUAUGUGUAAGUGUUGGGGAAGAGGGCACUGCCCGGGGAGCAAGUAGGGCAACUUCACGUCCAGGGUGGUGAACUCAGUGUUGCCGUCCCCGCCCGACAAUCGCUCUUCGCCACUUCAUCUAGUGCUCAGUUUAGUGUAGAGAGCUUACUCUACAGUCAGAGGGCUUUUUUCCUCAUGUUUUUGUUGUUGUUGUUGCUGCUGCUGUUUGGACAGGGCUUUAGACAAAACAAAACGGAGGCAACUCCUGGACUUUCUUCCCACCCCCCAACCCCCUCUCCUCCCUCCUUCCUUCCCUGAGUCUCCUGUAGCUGAGGUCCUGACCUUGAUCCUUCAGCCCCCACACUCAGUGCUGUGAUAACUGUCUUUGUGCCACUGCACCCAGGACUCUCGCAUGCUAGCCUAGCACUCUACCAAUUCCUGGAUGUUUAAGUCUGGCUUAUAAAAGUAGGGGUAGUUUGGCAGUGCAUGCAUAAAUUCUAAGAACGACAGUCUAUCUGUAGGUGAUGGUGACCAUGGCCUUUCCUGUCAUAUUGUGCCUACUGUGUGCCACCUUGUCAUUUAAAAGCAAGCAACUAUAGAUGAUAAAAAUUAUGUUAAGGUGUUACCAGCUGACUGAGGAGUCUUUUAUUACACUACUUAAUCAUGCGUAUAUGUGUAGGAAGUGUGUGUGUGUGCAUGUGUGUAGGAAGUGUGUGUGUGUGCAUGUGUGUACAUAAGGGAGGUUCUUUAACAGGGCAGGGCGGGCUCACACAUGCGUAGUCUCAUGCCUGCUGCAGCAGGCUUUGGGCAUCUGCAGGUAUCUUUGCACAGCCUUUGGCCUUCACUAGUCUCAAUGUCACCAUUUCUAUUAAAAUAAGACAGUGGAAGUCUUGCUGUGUCUUGCUUACUGAAUAAACCUUUUUCCUUGCCCCGAAAACAUGUCCGAAAUUAAUUGGGCCCCUCUUGAUGGCAAGUAAAGAGGGUUAGGCUUAGUAAUAUUCAAUUGUCUUAAUAAUGAUUUUCUCUGUCAUUACGACAUGGCAUUUCAAGCUUUCCCUCCAGUGGUGGUGACCAGUUAAACCUGCACUCAGAACCGUGCCUUUCAUGGGGGAAGCUCAGGGAAAAUGGCUGGGAGUUGCUCUCCGUUCUCUUGUUUGGGGAAACAGUGUGGUCUAUUUUUAUUUUUAUUUUUUUACUUAUUUAGGUCUCAUCAUCCCCAGCCCAGCUGCCUAGACCUAGCAGAGAGUGAACUUCAGGGUGUCGACCACCGUCCUGGUUUGAAUGGCUUGUCUGACUCCCAAGACUGCCUAUGCUUUGGAUAUGACUUUCAUUAUUUAUCUGAGUCCUGACAAUGCAUCUCUAUCUCACUAUAUAGGAGCAGGAUCCUCGACUGGCUGGCCUUCCACAAAUUUGAAAGGAGCAGAUAAAAGGGACUGCUUUUCAUGCUUUAGUACCUUCUUAUCUCAAAACAUUGUUAUUACUUCUUUCCCCUUUUGAUACAUGAUCUUCCUAUAUAACUCACACUGGCCUUGAACUUGUGAUUAUCCUGCCUCACCUUCCAAGUACAAGGAUUAAAGAUAGGCACAAUCACACCUUCCUUAUUGUUUCACUUACACACACACACACCCCACACACACACACCUGCACGGUUAUUUAUGCACAUGUUUCCAUGUGCCCAUAGAGUCCUGAGAAGAAGGACCUUAGAGCAGGAGUUAGAGGUGGCUGUGAGCUGCCCAAUUAAACCCACUACAGGGCAGCAAGUAUAUCUUCUGAGCCAUCUCUCCAGACUCCAUUAAUUUUAUAGUCUAUGUAAUUAAAGGGAUUUCAUUAUUUUGUGCUGUUUUAUUUUAAUUAUUUAUUUUGAGGUAGGUCUCCCUUUGUAGCCCAGUCCAGCCUCUAACCCAUUAUCCUGCCUCAGCCUCCAGAGUGCUGGAGGUAUAGCGUGCACAUCUAACUGUAAUUAUGGAUUUUGAGGUAACAUUUCAUCUAACUUGACAUUCAAUAAAUUUUUCAUUGGUGGUUUGCAGCCUAUUCCUAUAACAAAUGCCUUAGACAAAGCAACUGAAAAAGAAAAAUGUUUACAAAAUAAAGCUUAGCUUCAGGGGCUUGGUCUCUGUGGUGGUUUGAAUAGACUUGGCUCCCAGGGACUCUAUGUGUUUGAAUGCCUUAGCCCAUAAAAGCAGCACCAUUGGGAGGCGUGGCUUUGUGGAAGUGGGUGUGGCUUUGUUGGAGAAAGAGUUGCUAACUGUGGGGAGGAGCUUUGAGGUCUCCUGUGCUCAAGCUAUAACCAGCUUGACACACAGCCUCCUUUGCUCCCUGCAGAUCUACAUAUAGAACUUUCCUCCCUCCUCCAGCACCAUGUCUGCCUGCACGCCGCCAUGCUUCCUGCCUUGGCGAUAAAGGACUAAACCUUUGAAACUAGAACUCACAUAAACAUGGAUUCCGACCCAUCUGCUUAAGGAAGUGUGUGUCACAGUUGGAAGCAGCCUGUCUCCCACCUGCUGGUACUGCUGAGGGGUGUCACUGGAUCAUAAACAUCAAGACAUCAAAGCAGUGAACUCUGCCACAGGGAGGGAAGCCCAAGAGCCAAGGAAGUUAAAUUGUCAACAGGGGUGUCAAAGACGCUACAGAUGUGAAAUGAAGAAAUCUAGAGGCUGGAGAGAUGACUCAGUGGUUAAGAGCACCAGAUAAUCUUCCAGAAGAUCCCAGGUUCCAACACCCAUAUCACCACUCACCAUCGGCUCUAACACCAGUUCCAGGGAUACUGCCACCCUCUUCUGUCCUCUGCAGACACCAGGCAUCAUGCACGCGGUGUGGACAUCCAUGGAGACCAAACGCCCAUACACAUACAUACAUUCAUACAUACAUACAUACAUACAUACAUACAUACACACAUAAAUACAUACAUACAUACAUUCAUACAUACAUACAUACAUAGAUACAUUUAUUUUAAGAAAGAAGUAAUCCAAAACCAUUAAGAACAGCAUCACUGUAGCUAGCACAUGAAAGUGAGGCUGACUUUUACAUCUCACACUGGGCACAAAAGGCUGAGGUGCCUAUAUAACAGAUCAAAGGGGCAAGUUCUCCCAUCAUCCUCUAGUCCCUACCUGUUACAGAGAAUGGCUGCCAUACCCCAACCCCUAGCCUAACUUCUCCAGCCCAGGGGCUGGGCUGCCCUUCCCUGUGUAAUCCAGCCAGUUUGGCUACCUGGCCCUUUCACCUACCCUUGACUCUCGUGACUCUCCCCUCCCCUGCUUCUCACUUGGCCUGGCUGGGAGUCAUGUUUACUCUGGACUCUCCCAGAUGUUCCGGCCUCUGGCUCCGCUCUCCCUGUUAUCUACAAUAACCCUCCUCCUCCCACACACCUCGGCGCCAUCAUGUCCCUCCUUAUUUUUUUCAUUCACUGAUAGAGUCUCUCUGUUUUAAAACAAACAUCUGGAUUUAUUUUAUGUAUUUGAGAGUCUGUGUGCCGCUUGCAUUGCCUAGUGCUUCCAGAAGUCACAAGGGCUGAUUACCUGGAAUUGGAGUUUACACAUGCAUGUGGGUGCUGGAAAUGACCUGGGUCCUCUGCAAGAUUAGUGAGUGCUUGUAAUUGCUGAGCCACCUAUCCAGCCAUAUACAUAUACAUAUAUAAAUAUGUAUAUAUAAAUACAUAUAUAAAAUUUCUGUAACUUUUGAACAAUGUAAUGCAGUAUGUGUAGGAAGAUUUUUUCGCCUGUUUCAUUCCCCUCCAGAAAGUAUCGAUUAAGGGCUCCCAUGCAUUUUUCCUGAAGUCUAGUUUGCCCACGUAGCUGCCGGGCACACCCUUGUUCUUGUCUGAUGGAGACACAAGUGUCAUUAGAGUGCCUUCAUCUCACCUUCAAGAGAAGAGAUUCCGUUGUCAAGGCCAAGAGCACAGCCCUUCCCACAGCACGCGCUUCCUUCUGCCCAGUGCCACCUGUGAUAACUGACAAAGAGCCUCUUGCCUCCAUGCUCCUUUCUGACACUCCAGGCAGCUUACCCUGUAUGCAUUACUUCAAAGGUCAGCAGAGCUUAGUGUCUGGGAUGGGGAAAUCACCAGUCAGUGGCCAAUGCAGGCGAGCACUCUGACCAUCAAACAUUUCCAAGUCCAUCGUUUUAAGAGAUUGCCACGGUUUUCUGGGAUUUGUUUUCACACUUGUUAAUUCUCAGUGUAAGUGAGAGAGCCAUAAAAGACGGUUCUUU